AUUGAACGCUGGCGGCAUGCCUUACACAUGCAAGUCGAACGGCAGCGGGGACUUCGGUCCGCCGGCGAGUGGCGAACGGGUGAGUAAAGUAUCGGAACGUACCUUUCAGUGGGGGAUAACGUAGCGAAAGUUACGCUAAUACCGCAUAUUCUGUGAGCAGGAAAGCAGGGGAUCGCAAGACCUUGCGCUGAUUGAGCGGCCGAUAUCAGAUUAGCUAGUUGGUGAGGUAAAGGCUCACCAAGGCGACGAUCUGUAGCGGGUCUGAGAGGAUGAUCCGCCACACUGGAACUGAGACACGGUCCAGACUCCUACGGGAGGCAGCAGUGGGGAAUUUUGGACAAUGGGGGCAACCCUGAUCCAGCCAUGCCGCGUGAGUGAAGAAGGCCUUCGGGUUGUAAAGCUCUUUCGGCCGGGAGGAAAUCGCACAGGCUAAUACCCUGUGUGGAUGACAGUACCGGAAUAAGAAGCACCGGCUAACUACGUGCCAGCCGCCGCGGUAA
rnacentral:rRNA from 1 species